UGCACACGCAUGCGCGAGCAAACGUCUCCGCAUGUGGAUGGUUUCCCUUCUCUUUAAGCGCUUCUGUCCGUGCACAUAGCAAAGACAGCAUAAACAAGGACAGGAAAAGCAGGUGCGCAGUGAGCCUCAUUUUUUUUUUCGGUGGUGUACUUCGCUUCUCUUCUCUUUACACACGUCCGUGCAACGUUCCCAUCAUCUCUUGCGCAGUCAUAUGUAUCUUGCGUCGUUGCGGUUCUCCGGUUUCCUGCGACUACAAUGUUCAACAAGGCGGACUUGGUGGUGUUUUACUUCACCUACGCCACUCUCAUGAUAGCGCUGAUGGUGUGCAGUGUCUUGUCACCCAUCCAGGUGCGAUCCGUUGGUGAGCGGAACCUGUCUGUUUACGGCGUAGCACUUGCGUACGACCCGCCACCUAGCACCUGGCUCGGGGCAUCUGACAGCGCCUCGAAAAGCAGCAUCGGCAUCAUCGACACCAGUAGUGGGUCAUCACUUCCCGUCGAGACGGCGCGCAUUAGAACGUCGCUGGCGCACCUCCCCGCUUCGACGCUGACACGCUGCAUGACGGCCUACCUUGUCUUUGCCUCAUUGUGCAUCCUCACGUGCCUCUCACUCCUCGUCUCCUUGUUCGUCCAGAUGCUGCCGAUGAAGCACGGCCGUGCUGCCGUCUUGAUCACACGCCUGCUCACGGUUCUCGUGCCGCUCGCUGCCAUCGCCUGCUUCACGAUGGCGGCCGCUCUCGGGCUUCAGUCCCAUUUGUAUCACAACGUGGCAGCGGGGUACUACACUGACGCGCGCCGUGACAGCCCGGUAAGCAAGCUGCACUCCGGCUUCUUUUCCUCCGUCGCCGCUGCGCUCAUCGGGCUCUUGGUCGUUUUGCUAUCUCCCGUGCUCCGAAUGUGGUGAGGCCGCCGCGGGAGGGAGCUGGCGCCCUGCUGAACCCCAGCGCCUUUUUUUUCGCUUUGGCACUUUGUGUGAUGGCAGCAUGGAGGAUUUCUUCCUCGCGUUUUUUGGUCUUCGUCCUUCGUCUUACCUACUACCACUGCAGACUCCUAAUGGUCAGGGCCACAGCGCAGCGCGUGGCAUCCAGCGCCCAGUGCACUCUCCCCCCUUCCCCCCACUGAGUCGAGGAAACCUGACAGUCCCCCUCUCCUAUCCCCUGCUAAAUUGUGACCCGCUUUCUGAUGGUGGCAGCGGCAGGUCCCCACGACCUAGGGGGAGGGGGGCGUCAUUGCGGUGCAUCGCCAUGGAUGUAGGCGGUCGGGUCCUGGACGGCGGUGCAUCGGACCAACCUGCGACAGCGAACAUGUCUGUCUUGUCCAUAUGAUGGGCAGAGCUUCGGCGUGACUCGACCGUGUCUCCUACCCGGCCCUCGCGCUGCUCAUUGUUGGGCAGGGCCGCCUGAAUCUGUCGCCCCAAGGGGGAUGCACGAAGGGCGGCGACCGGCAUGAUGGGAACCGCUGUGUGGCUGGGUGGGUGGGUAGCGUUGGAGGCAGGUGCCGUGCUCGGAUGGCGGAGGCGGUGCAUUUUUGCUGCACGGGGUGUGUGUCUACUGUCGCCCGGAACCACGCGAAUGGGGCCUGUGGGUGGCCGGGGUUCGAGUGGAGUUGCGCUCACGUUGUGCGGCAGAUAAUGAACAAGUUGAGCAAAAGAAUUCUCGAUGCCACGCUCGUGUAAAGAAGGCUGUGGCGGAGAAGCUGUUUUUGCUUGGUGCCCUCCACCACUCGAAGCAUGCGCGACUUACUUC
rnacentral:misc_RNA from 1 species